GACGUUGAGGGACGCGGCAAGCUUCGCUACAUGCCUUGGUCAAGUGCAGAUUCCAGUCAAACUUGUCAUAUUUCACCAC
rnacentral:rRNA from 13 species